CAAGUACUGUAGCUUUAAGGAUUCCUCAGCAAUGAAAGCAAUAGAUGAAGUAAAAGCAACAGUAGCAGGUUAAUAGCAACAAUGCUGUAGCAGGCGAUAGAUAGAAAGCAGGAUACAGUCCAAAAUAAUAACAAUUCAAUCCCCAGAUAUGGAGAACAAGAAUACUUAAGGUCUGAUGGGAGUAGACUUCCACAAGCCGGUUAGCUGUAAUCAAG